rnacentral:rRNA from 1 species
AGUGAAAUGUGAUAAGUAAUGUGAAUUGCAGAAUUCAGUGAAUCAUCGAAUUUUUGAACGCAUCUUGCACCUUUUGGUAUUCCAAAAGGUACACCUGUUUGAGUGUCAU